AUAUCUUGAUUCCAGUGAAGCCAGUUUAGCUACCCAAGUCCAGCCAGCUCUGGACCCAGCUCUCAGACUCGUGGACCAGCCCUGAUGCCUGCAGCCUCUCCUGGAGAUGCCGGGGGCCCCAGCUGAGUCCCUGUAGCCAGCCCAACAGCACACUGGGUCCCUACAAGAAAAGCAGAAGGGGAUUGCAGACUCAGACCCAGAUGAGAAGACCACGUGAAGGCGGAGGCUGACACUACAGUGAUGUGCUCACAAACCAAAGAAUGCCCACGCACCUGGCAUCUGGAAGCAACAAGGCAGGAGCCUCACAGCCUCCGGAGGGAGUGUGGCCCUGCAGACACCGUGAUUCCAGAUUCUGGCGCCUAAAAGAACGGAGUACCCAGCCUGGCGCCUCUACAUCAAACUCCGCAAAGACCCCACAGCACAUCGACGCUAAAGGGCA